AACAAUUCGUUGCAAUUCCGGAGAUUUAACGGAUGUGCUCACCUUAGGAGUAGUACAGCGAAGACCUACCAGAUCGAUUGCUUAGAUGAGGAGGCUUCCUAGGAGGAAUGUUUCAGGACAAUGGACUAAAAACUCCGGACUUUGUAGGAAUAACAUUUGCUGGCGGAGCGUUAAUGGGUAAUUGAACCGAAGAUACGGAAUUUAGACUGAGUCUACAGGUGGAGUGAACAUGCUUAACCACCUGCUGCGUUUAAAGAGCUUGGCUGUGUGGAAAAUAUGCGAAGUGAGGAUAACAAAUCGUCCCACCUCAGAGAAAUAUUUCGGAAUUUGAUAGUGUGUCCAUUGCUAUUGCGGAUAAAACAUGACUCUCUUAUAUUUGAA